UCAAUGNUCUCACGAGUGAACUAGCUAACUGAAAUCAUUUGUGUGUCACAAGUGAUAACGUAAAGGAAAAUAAUGAUAUUACUUUACUAUUAGUGUCGUCCAAAACUGGUGCCAGAAGACUCGGUAAGGCCAGAGACGCAAACGUUAAUCAUCUUUAUCAGGCGUAAAGGGUUUGUAGGCUGCUUUCAAAGUUUUCAAAUUUAAAAUAGUUCUCUUUAGAUUUUUCUUUAGAGAUAAGUUUGGAGAUAAAUAAAAGCUAGAAUCAAAUAGAGGUCGCAUAUAUAAUGCUUAGAGUAGGUCUGAUAUCUGUAAAUCCUAAGUAGAAUACUAAAGGCGAAGGCUUUCUUCCACUACUGAUUGACGCUGAGAAACGAAGGUUAGGAUAGGAAAUAGGAUUAGAUACCCUAGUACCCCUCUCUGUCAACGAUGAAUGGUAGUUAUUAGUCAUUGAAAUACUAGUAGCGAUGUUAACGCGAUAACCAUUCCGCCUUGUGAGUACAAUUGCAAAAUUGAAAACAAAAAAAUUAGUCCG
rnacentral:rRNA from 1 species